GACGAACGCUGGCGGCGUGCUUAACACAUGCAAGUCGAACGGAAAGGCCCUGCUUUUGUGGGGUGCUCGAGUGGCGAACGGGUGAGUAACACGUGAGUAACCUGCCCUUGACUUUGGGGUAACUUCAGGAAACUGGGGCUAAUACCGGAUAGGAGCUCCUGCUGCAUGGUGGGGGUUGGAAAGUUUCGGCGGUUGGGGAUGGACUCGCGGCUUAUCAGCUUGUUGGUGGGGUAGUGGCUUACCACGGCUUUGACGGGUAGCCGGCCUGAGAGGGUGACCGGCCACAUGGGGACUGAGAGACGGCCCAGACUCCUACGGUAGGCAGCAGUGGGGAAUAUUGCACAAUGGGCGGAAGCCUGAUGCAGCAACGCCGCGUGCGGGAUGACGGCCUUCGGGUUGUAAACCGCUUUCGCCUGUGACGAAGCGUGAGUGACGGUAAUGGGUAAAGAAGCACCGGCUAACUACGUG
rnacentral:rRNA from 1 species